rnacentral:lncRNA from 1 species
ACGCCCCCGCAGAGGGCUGGGAGCAGCGCGGUCCCGCUGGGGCUCGGUUCGCUGGCGUCCCGGCCGCGGCCGCACGUCGGACAAAGGGCUGACGGGGUGUCGGUCCUCGGUGAGAGUGGGGCGCGUUUUCUGAUCAGCUGUCGCAGCGUGGGACCGGCCACCGCCCGUGCGUGCUGGCCAGUUAAACUGCGUAGAUCCGGCUACUGGAUACGUGGUGCUCACAAGGCUGGCCCACUUGCAGAGAGGCGCCUGCUGUGGCUCCGCCUGCAGACACUGUCCCUAUGGUCAAGUCAAUGUUAAAGAUCCAUCUAAAAAGAAGCGAUUCAAUUCAUAUUUUUAUGUUUGACAACAGUUUUUUUCUUUGCACUCUCACUGAACUUGUACUUAAAAAAUAAAUCUCUAAUUCACAAUUUCUCUCUUUGUUCUUUGUAUUGGAACACAAGUUUAAUCUUAAAUACAUGUAUUAAAAGAACAUCAAUGGCAAAGCUAACAAAUAUGUGUUUUAAAGUGCCACAGUGAUAAUCAUUCUUCUUUCUUUUUGCUUCAUUAUCAGACACGUGGUGAGGAAAGAAAAUAAUGACCGUUCUAUUAAAUAAAAGUUGCAAUUGGGUCACAUGAGUAGCUCUUGAAGUUUUUGAGCCUUGGUUCUCCUACUUUGUUCUUAUCAGUGUUAGCAAUCUAGGGAGGUUGCUGGCAAACUGGAGUAUUUGUUCACAUUAUUUAUGUCUUGAGCUAUUAGGAGAUUGAUACAAUGCUAUUUUGUGUGGCAAGUGAGUGCCCAAGAUGU